UACAGAGGGUGCGAGCGUCAAUCGGAAUUACUGGGCGUAAAGCGCACGUAGGUGGCUUUGCAAGUCGAUUGUGAAAUCCCCGGGCUUAACCUGGGAACUGCAGUCGAGACUGCUUUGCUUGAGUAUGGGAGAGGGAGGUGGAAUUUCCGGUGUAGCGGUGAAAUGCGUAGAUAUCGGAAGGAACAUCAGUGGCGAAGGCGACCUCCUGGACCAAUACUGACACUCAAGUGCGAAAGCGUGGGGAGCAAACAGG
rnacentral:rRNA from 1 species